ACCCUUUUACUCUACGAGUAACGGGUAUAACAAAACCAUACCAAUCCGAAGCGAACCAAACCGACAGCGACACCUAAACUGAAACAAAAAUAAAACGAAAUGGGAAAAAAUUUAAAUAUCUAUGCAGUUGGCAUAGCUGACAUACCCUAGACCAAAAAAAAUAAAAAAACCAAAAAAAAAAAGAAAGAAAACUUGGCAACGUUGCGUUUGAAGUGUCAAUUUUGAAAUGUGACUCGUUUCCAACGACUUUUCGGCUUCUUCUGUUGGCAAACUAACAAAAAUGUAUGAAUAACAUUCUGGCGAAAUCGGAAUGGGGGAAUGGGUUUUAUCUUUUGGCCGCCUAAAAAGCGGAAACUCAACGCCACAUUUUCGAUUUCGGGCGGAGUUCAGAUUCAGAAAGCUUCGAGAAAAACCUUUGCACCCAAUGUUUCACUAAUUCGAUGCAACGACCAAGUGCUUUAAUGCACUGCUCAACGCGAAACCAUUUAACAUUUCAAUGAACAGUGAACUAUUCGCCGUUUCUCUCCUCGUUUCUCGUCUCCUUUCGGCUGGCAUAUCAAUUAUUUGGCGGCCCAGUAUUUUAAAAUACAUUUCAAAACUCUGCAUACGAAAUGGGAAAGUGCCCUACGCAUUCGUUGGGUUGGGCAUGUUGGUAUUGUUGAAAGGUUCUGCGACUUUUGGACUUUGGAAAUAAAUAUAUCCAACGCACGAAAAAGGAUUACCGUGCAAAGAAGCAUAUCAAAAAUAAAUGUGCUUAAAUGAUUAUCAUUCCAUAAAUACAAUGCUUUUAGUUUUAUCAGAAAUAAUUCAUAUUAAAGUCAUAAAUUUGUUCAAUGAAAAAAGAAAAAUAUGAAAUACCUUUACAGGUCGAACCCAACAAUAUUACCCACAAUUAGGAGUCAGAUACUUUGGGUUACAUACAGGGGAUUCAUAGGAAUUUUAGACCCCAACUCGACUGCUCAUUGAUUCAUUGCGGUAUUUCGGCUUCAUAGCUUUUAGUCGAUUGAAAAGCAAGAAGCGCCGGGUGGUGGACGGUGGAAAGGGGACGGGGGUCUUUGGGGACCUGAAACCCAGGGAACCGACCUGGACUGAGACAAAUUUCAAUUCCACACCGCGUGAGUGUGCGUUAUAAAUUGCGUAUGCAGGGCCACUUGGUCAGUUUGUGAAUACAAAUCUACGCGCUUUACAUAAACAAGCGCUGAGGGGCAUGGGCACCCACCCCUCUGGAUUUAUGGUAAAUGAGCUGAAUGUGUAAUCGAUUCUAAGCCAGGUUGUUCAAAGUUUUUGUGGGCCCUUUGUAUUUUUUUUAUUUUAGUGGAGCUAUUCUGGCGAACCAUAAUUAAGAUUCAAUUCAAUGCAAUUGCAGGGCCAUAAAACACGGUCACCAAAUUGCAUUUUAGGCAAGGAAUUGCGUAUGCAAAGCGUCAGCUAAACAUUGAUGGUAAAUAAAGCGAACGAACGAACGAACGAAAUUGAAUUGAAUCGAAUUGAAUUGAAUUGCAUUGAGCUGCGUUUCGAAUUGGAUUUGGUCCGGUCAAAACGAUUGGGAACAUGACAGGCCGAAUGUAUCUGGCCGAGAAGAAAGUUCCGCAGUAAUUGUGUUGUGUGCGCUGUGCUAAUUGUCUGAAUUGAUUAAGCCGAUUGUCACAAAUUGUCAUAUGAUCCAAUUGGAAUAUGAAAUGAAUAGUUAAUGCUUUAAUGGGAUCGUCAUUAUAGCGCCGCCGGUCGAGUCAACUUUCGAAAAUAUGUGGCAUUUGGCUAACUCAAUUAUGUGGCUCCAACUCGUAUUAACUUUGCUUCUCGAGGCCCCUCGAGCUUGGGCACUUCAUUUUCACACCUGGGUGCCAUGUUUCUUGCCAAAAUUGCGUGACAACUUGUCUAAUUUCCAUCACGGAAUCUUCUCCACUGCUAACAAUAACUGCAGCUGUCAACCAGUCGAACGGUUCAUUGGCUUCUUGGUUGCAUUCGCUACCAAUAAUAACAACAAUAAACAGCGGAAUAAAAGUAAUGAAAACUCUUAA